AUGGCCUGGAUUCCUCUCCUCUUCUUCCUCCUUCACUGUACAGGGUCUUUCUCCCAACCUGUGCUGACUCAGUCACCCACAGCCUCAGCCUCCCUGGGAGCCUCAGUCAAAAUCACCUGCACCUUGAGUAGUCAGCACAGCACCUACUACAUUGGAUGGUACCAGCAACAGCCAGACAAGGCUCCUAAGUAUCUGAUGUAUGUUAGCAGUAAUGGAAACCAUGGCAAGGGAGAUGGGAUCCCUGAUCGCUUCUCUGGCUCCAGCUCUGGGGCUCAUCGCUACUUAAGCAUCUCCAACAUUCAGCCUGAAGACGAAGCUGUCUAUUUCUGUGAUCAGGCAGUGACAAUGGACAAAGUUGUUUGCUCAUUCCAUUUCCCAGAUGUUCCAUUCUGGUCCUGA